rnacentral:rRNA from 1 species
AGCGAACGCUGGCGGCAGGCCUAACACAUGCAAGUCGAGCGGCCGUAGCAAUACGGCAGCGGCAGACGGGAGAGUAACACGUGGGAACGCGCCCUUCGGUUCGGAAUAACUCAGGGAAACUUGAGCUAAUACCGGAUACGCCCUUACGGGGAAAGAUUUAUUGCCGAAGGAACGGCCCGCGUCCGAUUAGCUUGUUGGUGAGGUAACGGCUCACCAAGGCGACGAUCGGUAGCUGGUCUGAGAGGAUGACCAGCCUCACUGGGACUGAGACACGGCCCAGACUCCUACGGGAGGCAGCAGUGGGGAAUAUUGGACAAUGGGCGCAAGCCUGAUCCAGCCAUGCCGCGUGGGUGAUGAAGGCCCUAGGGUUGUAAAGCCCUUUCAGCGGGGAAGAUAAUGACGGUACCCGCAGAAGAAGCCCCGGCUAACUUCGUGCCAGCAGCCGCCGUAACAC